UACUAGCACACCAUUUGUUAGAGUGUGAACUGGUUAGAAUGUAGAUGAGGGAUAGUUGGAGGCCACAGAAGACAAGCAAAGAGACCAAACUGUACAUUCAUCUAGAAAGGCUAGAUAAGAUUAUAUUAUAUAUAGAUAAGAUUGCAUUAGAUUUUUAAUGUCACCUUCAAGAAAGAAGGAAAUUUCAGGAUAUCAGAAAUGCAGAGGACACAAAGCCCUAAUGGUACAUUCUAAUAUUAUGGCAGCCAGGAUGAGGGGGAAGAGCAGUUGAUAGAUCCAGAAGUGUCCUUUAGGAUAGAGGUUUGUGUUUCAAUGCCCAGACAGAGACAGGAGACAAGGCUCUGGGUUCAUGGAAGGUGAAGAGUUGGAAUGAAGACCGUUGCAUUGACAAACCCCUCAAAGAACUGCAUGCACCUCAGUGAGAAAAUAAAAGCUCCACCUGCUGGCCUGGAAGGGGAGCAGUCUCUGGAUAGAAGAUCCACAUGUACAGACAAAAUAUUUUUCAUGUCUCACAGUGACCAGCAUUUGUAAUAACAGUGGAGAUGGAAAAACCUGAAGUGGCUUGUGUUCCUCUUCCUCCCUCCCCAGGCUCAGCUAAUACCUCGAUCACCCACAGUGGAGACCCCUGAUCUCCAUAAGUGUCCCUGACAUUUCAAGGGCACAAAUUCUCUGGACACACGGAGGGAAUAAUGCUGACAUUUUAUAGAAGCUGACCCACUGGAUAUCCUUCUCACCCAACUCCAUUAGGCUAGGGAGAGUAAGAGGCAUGGUGACAAGGUGGCAAAGAUGUCACCAUGCCAUCCAAUCACGAGGUCUCCAGGAAACUGU
rnacentral:antisense_RNA from 1 species